UGGGGGUCACAUUUCAUGAGGACACAGCUCAACAUAAAGGAGUGCUCAACUGAUCCUAUCCUGUAUUUGCACCUGUGAACAAACUAAGUGCAAGUGAAUGGCAUAGUAGAAGAAGAGAUGCUACUGACUGGGCAACAUGAGAAUGCUGCUGGAUGACAGAUGCAUACAUUAUUUGGAAGAAGACGCACUGGGGUUUCGCAUUUGAAAUGACUUCUCUACAGCAAAUGGGUCAGAUGCCUCCUCAAGCACUGCACAGGCUUCUCAAGUUUGCCCACCACCGCUGGGACAGGCAGGGAAGAGAAACCUCCAGCUGGCAUCCCACACUCAGAGAGAGCUGCUGCCAAAAUUGAGGAAAAACUGCCACAAUAUCACACAAUGUCAGGCCUUAGCUUUGGUUCAUACAUUACAACUGUUGGUCAUUUUAUUUGCAUGCUGGUGGAAAAGGCAUAUGCCCAUUCUUUAUGGCCAGCAGCUUACCUUUUUGCACCAUUUUUGAGGAAGAAAGAAUAUGUGACUGAUAACAUUGCAUCAUGGGUUUCUACAAAGAGAUCUAAUGUCACAUGUCCACUCAUGCACCUCAUGAGUAAGAAGGCCGUCAUCUUACCGUAUAUAAUUGACUAAUAUGUAAAGUGUUGCAACGAUGAAUCCUCAACCAGUGGGUGCACAAGACUGUCCUGUGCGCCCUUGAAACCAAAACAAAAUGAGAGGCCAGUUGGCCAGUGCUCUUCCCUUUCCUCAACCGCCCUCCCUCCACCCCACACAGGAACUCCAGCCUAGUGGAGCAGCAGCAGGAAGUUGCCUUCCCUUCCAGGCCUGCCAGUGCUCUCCAUCUUUCCCAAGCAACCUCCCUUCACCGCAAAAAAGAACCCUGCUCACCAGCACUCUUCCCCUUCCCCAAGCACCCUUCCUCUCCUCCAUACAGGAACCCCAUCCUGACAAAGCAGUGGCAAGAUUCCUUUUCUGCCAGGUCUGCCUCUCCCUUCCCUGACCACCCUCUCUCUGCCCCAAAGACUAAGCCCAUCCUAAACAACACACCAUUGCCUCACUACCCUCCCCACUUGCCCCAACCAAUCCCCCCAACUCCACACAACUCGCCACUGCCCCACUAUAGUCACCACUCGAAGCAAACAAACCACCAACUGAAGCAGCAUCAGCUGAAGCCACCGGUGAGUUGUGGCGGGAGGGCAGGAGAUGCAGUGGCUCAGGGGUUGCCCAAGGCACCCAGCCAGGAAAUGCAUGCCCUUAGCAACAGCCCUCGCUCUUGUCUGGAACCCAUUUUAUUCCCUCUUAAAAUGAUCUUUAACUGCUAGUAGUUAAUAAUAGGCCAUACACUUGAGUUCUAUGUAUGCAUGUUAUGAAGUGUAUUUGAAAGAAAAAGUCAUAUUUCAUAAAUAUGAAAAAGUACCUGCAGUUCUUUUCUUUCCUUUUCUCAGUGGAAAUUAUUUUAAUUCUUAGUAGUUACAAAAACUUGUCUAA